rnacentral:rRNA from 1 species
GACGAACGCUGGCGGCGUGCUUAACACAUGCAAGUCGAGCGGUAAGGCCCUUUCGGGGGUACACGAGCGGCGAACGGGUGAGUAACACGUGGGUGACCUGCCCUCAGCUCUGGGAUAAGCCUGGGAAACCGGGUCUAAUACUGGAUAUGACUCCAUGACGCAUGUUGUGGGGUGGAAAGCCUUGUGCGGCUGAGGAUCGGGCCCGCGGCCUAUCAGCUUGUUGGUGGGGUGAGGCCUACCAAGGCGACGACGGGUAGCCGGCCUGAGAGGGCGACCGGCACACUGGGACUGAGACACGGCCCAGACUCCUACGGGAGGCAGGCAGUGGGGAAUCUUGCGCAAUGGGCGAAAGCCUGACGCAGCGACGCCGCGUGAGGGAUGACGGCCUGG